AGGGUCCACACAUUUCGGGUAUAUGGAGAGAAUUUAUCAGAAACAUGUUGUUACUAUCAGGAAAGUUGUAAUUAUUCUGUCAUAUCAACUAGUUCUGGUGAUGUUACAUGCUGUCUGGAGACGUAGAGACAGAAAUGCAGUUCUUUUCAUGUUGCAGGAAUAACUGAAAAGACGCCGACCGCGGGAGGAGGGUCCUGCUGCAGUCGCGGCUGGUACCGGGACCGGUUUCAGACAGACAGCGAGAACAGCUGAUCAAUAUGUGAGGUGGCAGUGAAAGCCAGCUGUGAGGAUGGUCGAUGAAACAACAAGAAGUGAAAUCCAGUUGCCUCUCUAGGAUUACAGUGACCUGGAUGUGUGACGAGCUGAAACAGAGGCUCAGUCUUAGCCAAGAGCUUGUUCACGCAUCAAGAUGUCAUACAUUAACUUCAACAUGCAAAGACUUACUUCUGGUCCAAUGUUCUGCUGUCAGUUCUGUUUUAGUAAAAAAAAAAAAAUAAAUAAAAAAUAAAAAAAAAAAGUGAAUAAAUG